rnacentral:rRNA from 1 species
CACGCAGGCGGUCUGCUAAGUUCGGAGUGACAGUCACCAGCUUAACUGGUGAAGGACUUUGAAAACUGGCGGACUUGAGAGCGAGAGAGGGACAUGGAAUUUCGGGUGGAGCAGUGAAAUGCGUAGAUAUCCGGAGGAAUACCAAAGGCGAAGGCAGUGUCCUGGCUCGUAUCUGACGCUGAGGUGCGAAAGCUAGGGGAGCGAACGGGAUUAGAUACCCCGGUAGUCCUAGCCGUAAACGAUGACCACUAGGCGUGGGAGGUAUCGACCCCUUCCGUGCCGCAGUUAACACAAUAAGUGGUCCGCCUGGGGAGUACGGUCGCAAGACUAAA